UAUAUAUAUAUAUAUAUAUAUACACAUCUUACAUUGUAUAUGUAUUUCUAUGAUGCACACUCUGGUAAAUGCAAAAGUAUAAAGCCAAAGGGUCGCUUUUAUUUGCGAUAACCAUUGAAGGACAUCCAACCGGUAGAAUCUAAAAAAAGUAAACCUGUUGCUGCAAAGUUUAUUUAAAGAAUGUCAUGUACUAACACGUUAACGUAAAUAUAAACGUGUUUCAAAUCGUUA